UACGUAGGGUGCGAGCGUUAAUCGGAAUUACUGGGCGUAAAGCGUGCGCAGGCGGUUAUGUAAGACAGGUGUGAAAUCCCCGGGCUUAACCUGGGAACUGCAUCUGUGACUGCAUAGCUAGAGUACGGUAGAGGGGGAUGGAAUUCCGCGUGUAGCAGUGAAAUGCGUAGAUAUGCGGAGGAACACCGAUGGCGAAGGCAAUCCCCUGGACCUGUACUGACGCUCAUGCACGAAAGCGUGGGGAGCAAACAGG
rnacentral:rRNA from 1 species